ACUGGGACUGCGGCCUAGGCGGGCGAGGCUGAACUGUUCCCGCGGAGCGUUCUUAGCGUCUCCCAGUCUUCCAGCAACCGCUGACGCGACCCGCGUGCGGCCGACCACUGGCCAACCCGGGAGAGCAGGGCUACAGCGUGAUCCCCUAUCCCGAGGCGCCUCCCAGCUCUCCCCACUCGGCGGCCGCGCGCUCCGCCAGCUUCUUCUCUCCUUCCCCGCCCCAGCCCCGCAAAUCCGGGGGUCGGCGAGCCGGCUGAGUGGGAGACGCGCGGUGUCCGAGGAGCCAGGCGGCGACCGAUUUCCCGCCGGGCAUAGACCCUUUCCUUCCAGGCAAGCUCCAGCAUGGGGUGAGGUACAGAAGAGAGACCAGAAGCAUACAGCCUGGCUGGCACUCAAGCAACAAACCUGCACCCUAGACCGGGCUCUCUUACGCCACAUCUGUAAUGGGGGGAAGUGGGCGGAGCACAUCCUGCUCCAGAAGCACAGGAAGGGAGCAUCCUGCAUCCGCCACUCCCGUCCAGUGCGGAGGGGAGCAGAA